GUGGGGAAUUUUGGACAAUGGGGGCAACCCUGAUCCAGCCAUGCCGCGUGUGUGAAAGAAGGCCUUCGGGUUGUAAAGCACUUUCGGACGGAAAGAAAUCACACGGGUGAAUAUCCCGCGUGGAUGACGGUACCGUAAGAAGAAGCACCGGCUAACUACGUGCCAGCAGCCGCGGUAAUACGUAGGGUGCGAGCGUUAUUUGGAAUUACUGGGCGUAAAGAGUGCGCAGGUGGCCUCGCAAGUCGAGUGUGAAAUCCCCGGGCUCAACUCGGGAAUUGCGCUCGAAAAUACGGGGCUCGAGUGUGGCAGAGGGAGGUGGAAUUCCACGUGUAGCGGUGAAAUGCGUAGAGAUGUGGAGGAACACCAAUGGCGAAGGCAGCCUCCUGGGCCAAAACUGACGCUCAUGCGCGAAAGCGUGGGGAGCAAACAGGA
rnacentral:rRNA from 1 species